CACGUAGGGAGGAAGCGUUGUCCGGAUUUAUUGGGCGUAAAGAGCUCGUAGGUGGUUCGGUAAGUCGGGUGUGAAAACUCUGGGCUCAACUCAGAGACGCCACCCGAUACUGCUGUGACUUGAGUCUGGUAGGGGAGUGUGGAAUUCCCAGUGUAGCGGUGAAAUGCGCAGAUAUUGGGAGGAACACCAGUGGCGAAGGCGGCACUCUGGGCCAGUACUGACACUGAGGAGCGAAAGCGUGGGUAGCGAACAGG
rnacentral:rRNA from 1 species